AGGAGGAAGAGGAGGAGCUGAUCUGUCCCUGAUCUCUAAAGAGACUCAAACUUCCUCCUUCAGCUCAGCUCAACUCUCCAACAUUAACUCUGCUCAACAUGCUGUCUCUGCUCACAUCUGGAUUCACUCUGCUGGUUCUGAUCACUGGAUCAGGUGUAAACUGUCAACAACUCACUGCAGCGAAGACUGAGGAGUUCAGUUCAGAGGGCAGCUCUGUUACUCUGACCUGCAGUUACACCAAAGAUUCUGCACAGGUUUUAUUCUGGUAUCAACAAAAUCCAGGAGAACCUCCAGAGUUCCUGAGGUCUCACUCACCUUCAGGUGGAUCAGAACAUCUGGACAGGAUGACAUUUAAAGGAAGCAAAGAAGAAAUGUCCAUGAAGAUCUCCUCUGCUGCAGUGACAGACUCUGCUGUGUACUACUGCGCUGUGAGGCCCACAGUGACAGGAAACACCAGAACCCUGUACAAAAACCUGCAGUACUCCACAGCAGCCACUAGAGGGCCUCACUCCCUGUUAAACCACUAAAACCUGCAGUACUCCCCAGCAGCCACUAGAGGGCCUCACUCCCUGUUAAUCCACUGGUUGUUGAGUCUUUGGACUGAAGACAAAGACAACAGAGACAUGAAGCAGUAAAGAUCAGAGACAGAGCUGAUGAGGAAGCAGAAAACUCUCUGAUUGGUUGAUUUGAAAUGGCCCCGCCCACUGACCUCAUCCAAUGACAUCAUUUCUUCCUCCUCCUCUGUCAGUCUCCACUUUUUCUAUAACUAAUUACUGGAGAUAAUCUCUGCUGUUAGAGA